AGUGAACGCUGGCGGUAGGCCUAACACAUGCAAGUCGAACGGCCGCACAGUAACAGCUUGCUCUUACGGGUGGCGAGUGGCGGACGGGUGAGGAAUACAUCGGAAUCUACUUUUUCGUGGGGGAUAACGUAGGGAAACUUACGCUAAUACCGCAUACGACCUACGGGUGAAAGCAGGGGAUCUUCGGACCUUGCGCGAUUGAAUGAGCCGAUGUCGGAUUAGCUAGUUGGCGGGGUAAAGGCCCACCAAGGCGACGAUACGUAGCUGGUCUGAGAGGAUGAUCAGCCACACUGGAACUGAGACACGGUCCAGACUCCUGCGGGAGGCAGCAGUGGGGAAUAUUGGACAAUGGGCGCAAGCCUGAUCCAGCCAUACCGCGUGGGUGAAGAAGGCCUUCGGGUUGUAAAGCCCUUUUGUUGGGAAAGAAAAGCAGCAGGUUAAAACCCCGCUGUUCUGACGGUACCCAAAGAAUAAGCACCGGCUAACUUCGUG
rnacentral:rRNA from 1 species